GUGAGGAAUUUUCCGCAAUGGGCGAAAGCCUGACGGAGCAAUGCCGCGUGAAGGAUGAAGGCCUAUGGGUUGUAAACUUCUUUUCUCAGAAAAGAAUUAUGACGGUAUCUGAGGAAUAAGCAUCGGCUAACUCUGUGCCAGCAGCCGCGGUAAGACAGAGGAUGCAAGCGUUAUCCGGAAUGAUUGGGCGUAAAGCGUCUGUAGGUUGUUUAAAAAGUAUUCUGUCAAAGAUUAGGGCUUAACCCUAGAUAGGCAGAAUAAACUUUUAAGCUAGAGUUUGGUAGAGGCAGAGGGAAUUACCGGUGGAGCGGUGAAAUGCGUAGAUAUCGGGAGGAACACCAAAGGCGAAGGCACUCUGCUGGGCCAAUACUAACACUGAGAGACGAAAGCGAGGGGAGCAAAUGGGAUUAGAUACCCGGGUAGUCC
rnacentral:rRNA from 1 species